rnacentral:lncRNA from 10 species
UAAGCAAGUCACAGAGACACGCAGCCAAGACAGAGUCUAUGUCUCCACCAUUGUUUGACAGUCUCGUGAGGAGGCUUGGGAGGCAGGGAGAGUUGGAGUCACUGCUGUGCCCUGGCCGCCCUGUGUCACCGACAUGCUAUGUGACUUCUCUAAGGGACAUCCCCUCCGCUUCUGUAAGGGAUGGCUUUUCCUACGCGUCCCCUGGAUUCCCCUCCACCCCACUUUUGAGCUUACUACUUAAUACCAUGGGGUGCCUGAAGGGAUCUGCCCUAUUUUCAUCAGGACAGCAAGCAGCGACCCAAGAAGCAGCAGUUUCAGCAGUGGAGUCAGAAGGCACAGCCUAACAACAUAUUCCUGCUCAGACAGUAAACUUCUUAGCGUUUCUUUAUUUUAUGUGAAUCUUGCCUGUGACCAUUCUCCACCACUGGAUGAGGGUGGCGUGGGGUCUGAUACAGAGCCGUGCAGAAGUGCUGUGGGAGUGAGCA